rnacentral:rRNA from 1 species
AUUGAACGCUGGCGGCAGGCUUAACACAUGCAAGUCGAGCGGAGAUGAGGUGCUUGCACCUUAUCUUAGCGGCGGACGGGUGAGUAAUGCUUAGGAAUCUGCCUAUUAGUGGGGGACAACAUUCCGAAAGGAAUGCUAAUACCGCAUACGCCCUACGGGGGAAAGCAGGGGAUCUUCGGACCUCGCGCUAAUAGAUGAGCCUAAGUCGGAUUAGCUAGUUGGUGGGGUAAAGGCCUACCAAGGCGACGAUCUGUAGCGGGUCUGAGAGGAUGAUCCGCCACACUGGGACUGAGACACGGCCCAGACUCCUACGGGAGGCAGCAGUGGGGAAUAUUGGACAAUGGGCGGAAGCCUGAUCCAGCCAUGCCGCGUGUGUGAAGAAGGCCUUUUGGUUGUAAAGCACUUUAAGCGAGGAGGAGGCUACCUGGAUUAAUACUCUAGGAUAGUGGACGUUACUCGCAGAAUAAGCACCGGCUAACUCUGUGCCAGCAGCCGCAGUAAUAC